rfam:Populus trichocarpa scaffold_8_contig_54, whole genome shotgun sequence.
AAAAAAGCAGGGCCUUGUUGCCUUUUGUGAACAAGGCUCUCGUAAACUUCAGGGAAAUUAAUUGCAUUGUUAUUGGGUGAACCUCUGUUGUUAUUGGUGGCUGAAGGUUCAGUAAAUGAUGGUACAGUU